rnacentral:rRNA from 1 species
UCAUAAUCAGUGAAAACGAGUAGGGCGGGACACGUGAUAUCCUGUCUGAAUAUGGGGGGACCAUCCUCCAAGGCUAAAUACUACUGACUGACCGAUAGUGAACCAGUACCGUGAGGGAAAGGCGAAAAGAACCCCUGUGAGGGGAGUGAAAUAGAACCUGAAACCGUGUACGUACAAGCAGUAGGAGCACCUUCGUGGUGUGACUGCGUACCUUUUGUAUAAUGGGUCAGCGACUUAAUUUUAGUAGCAAGGUUAACCGUUUAGGGGAGCCGUAGGGAAACCGAGUCUUAACUGGGCGUACAAGUUGCUAGGAUUAGACCCGAAACCAGGUGAUCUAGCCAUGGGCAGGUUGAAGGUUGAGUAACAUCAACUGGAGGGACCGAACCGACUAAUGUUGAAAAAUUAGCGGAUGACUUGUGGCUAGGGGUGAAAGGCCAAUCAAACCUGGAGAUAGCUGGUUCUCCCCGAAAGCUAUUUAGGUAGCGCCUCGGACGAAUACUACUGGGGGUAGAGCACUGUUAAGGCUAGGGGGUCAUCCCGACUUACCAACCCUUUGCAAACUCCGAAUACCAGUAAGUACUAUCCGGGAGACACACGGCGGGUGCUAACGUCCGUCGUGGAGAGGGAAACAACCCAGACCGCCAGCUAAGGUCCCAAAGUAUAGCUAAGUGGGAAACGAUGUGGGAAGCUCAGACAGCCAGGAUGUUGGCUUAGAAGCAGCCAUCAUUUAAAGAAAGCGUAAUAGCUCACUGGUCGAGUCGGCCUGCGCGGAAGAUGUAACGGGGCUAAGCUAUACACCGAAGCUGCGGCUACGUACCUUAGGGUAUGUGGGGUAGGGGAGCCGUUCUGUAAGCCGUUGAAGGUGGUCUGUAAGGGCUGCUGGAGGUAUCAGAAGUGCGAAUGCUGACAUGAGUAACGAUAAAGGGAGUGAAAAACUCCCUCGCCGGAAGACCAAGGGUUCCUGUCCAACGUUAAUCGGGGCAGGGUAAGUCGACUCCUAAGGCGAGGCCGAAAGGCGUAGUCGAUGGGAAACAGGUUAAUAUUCCUGUACUUCUUACAAUUGCGAUGGGGGGACGGAGAAGGCUAGGUGGGCCUGGCGACGGUUGUCCAGGUUCAAGUAUGUAGGCGGA